AAUGAACGCUGGCGGCGCGCCUAAUACAUGCAAGUCGAGCGAGAAGACGUAGCAAUACGUUUGUAAAGCGGCGAACGGGUGAGGAAUACAUGGGUAACCUACCCUAGGGUGGGGAAUAACUAGCCGAAAGGUUAGCUAAUACCGCGUACGCUCCUUGGACUUCGGUUCAGGGAGGAAAGCGAUGCCGAGGGUAUCGCGCUCUUGGAUGGGCUCAUGUCCUAUCAGCUUGUUGGGAGGUAACGGCUCACCAAGGCUUCGACGGGUAGCUGGUCUGAGAGGACGAUCAGCCACACUGGCACUGCGACACGGGCCAGACUCCUACGGGAGGCAGCAGUAAGGAAUAUUGCGCAAUGGGCGAAAGCCUGACGCAGCGACGCCGC
rnacentral:rRNA from 1 species